rnacentral:rRNA from 1 species
AAAUGAAUAGACGGGGGCCCGCACAAGCGGAGGAACAUGUGGUUUAAUUCGAUGAUACGCGAGGAACCUUACCCGGGCUCGAACGGCAGAUGAAUUUCGCAGAGAUGCGGGAGUCCUUCGGGACGUCUGUCGAGGUGCUGCAUGGUUGUCGUCAGCUCGUGCCGUGAGGUGUCGGCUCAAGUGCCAUAACGAGCGCAACCCUUGCCUUCAGUUGCCAUCAAGUAAAGUUGGGGACUCUGGAGGGACUGCCACCGCAAGGUGAGAGGAAGGGGGGGAUGACGUCAAAUCAGCACGGCCCUUACGUCCGGGGCGACACACGUGUUACAAUGGCGGCUACAGAGGGAAGCCACCCCGCGAGGGGGCGCGGAUCCUCAAAGGCCGUCUCAGUUCGGACUGGAGUCUGCAACCCGACUCCACGAAGCUGGAUUCGCUAGUAAUCGCGCAUCAGCCAUGGCGCGGUGAAUACGUUCCCGGGCCUUGUACACACCGCCCGU